rnacentral:rRNA from 1 species
UUGACGGGGCCCGCACAAGCGGUGGAGUAUGUGGUCUAAUUCGAUGCAACGCGAAGAACUUUACCUGGUCUUGACAUCCCGGAGACCCUUAGGAAACUAGGGGGUGCUUCCAUCUGGAAGAAUCUGGAGACAGGUGCUGCAUGGCUGUCGUCAGCUCGUGUCGUGAGAUGUUGGGUUAAGUCCCGCAACGAGCGCAACCCUUGCCUUUAGUUGCCAGCAGUUCGGCUGGGCACUCUAAAGGGACUGCCGGUGUUAAACCGGAGGAAGGUGGGGAUGACGUCAAGUCCUCAUGGCCUUUAUGACCAGGGCUACACACGUACUACAAUGGCCGAUACAAAGGGCAGCGACACUGCGAGGUGAAGCCAAUCCCGUAAAAUCGGUCUCAGUCCGGAUUGGAGUCUGCAACUCGACUCCAUGAAGUUGGAAUCGCUAGUAAUCGUGGAUCAGCAUGCCACGGUGAAUACGUUCCCGGGCCUU